ACAGCGCUAAGCAUUCUGGGUAAUGCAGUAUAGAAACAUUUGCUUCCUAGUUUACAUAGCAUUUACAUAUUUGAUUUUACUUUAUCUAUUCAGAGGAAGACAAUUAAGAACAUGUUUUCAUUUGCAAUUCCCACCGAGCAAAGAAGCAGCAUUUACAUGUUCGAGACGUUGAACAUGAUGGAAAUGGCAGCAUCUUUUCAGAGAGCAGCACCUUUGGUGGUGACAGACAGACAACUCGUAGAUCCAGAAUAAUGAAGCAGUGCCAGCAGACUCAAUGUUACAAUCCAACAAUCUGAGGACACAUCUUCAGCUCCAACAGAUGCCUGUAAAUCUAUCAAAGCUGCCCCCAUUGAUCCUGCUGACUGGCCACACCAUUUGACUGACACAGUAAGAACUGGAUCGUAUGAGGUAAACUCAGACUUCACAUUCCCGAAAAGCUUGAAAAAUGUUCCAUCCGCACCUCUUAAACAUACAUUUAGUGAAAAGAGAGAAAAUUAAGAGAACGUGGCUCAUGUAUUCCCCCAAGUUCCCCCCUAUGCUAUUUGCACUACAUUUGCACGUGCUAAGUUAUUAUUUUAUUCUCAGGGAAAUUGUUUAAAUGGUUUAUAUUUUUCUUCAGAUUGCAUUUUUUGUCUUAACAUGACAAAUAAAUAGUUGCUAACUGUGUAAUGCUGACGCCCCAAUUCAUACUGACAGGAAAUACUCACUUAUGCCCGAAAUGAGAAAAAAAUACGCAGCACUGCCUUGUCUGGUUUCUACGAUUAUGCAUUCAAUGCACUCAGAACAAACUUGUAAGUUUGCAUACGCACCAAGCAGAUAGCAGAAGCCUCAUAUCAGCGUCCUGCGCUGUAUAUGAUAAUAUAUGGAAAUUUUUACUGAAGAAAAUGUUAAACCGUACCAUACCAACUGUUUUUAUAAAGCCCGUUAAAAACAACCACAGCUGAAAAACAAAGGGCUGUACACCACAAACAAGUAAACGUGCAAAAAGCAGAGAAAUACAGGCAAAGGACAGACUAAAAUAUAUAAUA